AGUAGCAGCACAUCCACCUUCACUCUCGUAAUAACGCUGCCCAGGUGUAGUCAUGAUUUAAUUAGAAACUUCUUGUCAAAGGAUGUUUGUUUUUAACUAGUCGUGCGCACUGGUUAUUUCAGUUCAUGUCGUUAUGAUUGUCUUCCCAUUGCUAGCAGAUUAUUAAUGUCUAUUAUGUUUUCUUAUCAUGAUAUCUAUUUAUAUUUUGUUGCUUCCCCGUUUAUGCAAUUUUCAAAGGAGAUGUUGUCGAAAUUUUAUAUAUGAAUGUUAGAUGUGUAGUUUAGUAGCAUUCUGGGGUGUUUGUGGAUCCCGGGGUGUUACAGUUGGUAUCAAAGCAUAGGCUUUAGAUUCUUGGCAAUUUGAAGAUAAAUUUGACACACUUGCACAUAUAGGAAGGGUAUGGGUUCAAAUAUCUUUGAUAUAUAUUAAUGUCUUUGAAGUGCAGAUGACAAUAAUUUCACCCCUCCUUAUUCCUUUACGGUGAUGUGGUAAGUUGUUUAUGACUUAAUGCCUGAUAUAAUUUAUCUCUAAAUCUUUAAAUUGUUUUAUUAAUGUGUUUGAUAUCGCUGGUCUUUUGUGAGAUUGAAGUUGUUAUUAUGCUUGUGAUAUACAAGUAUGCCUAUGUUGUUUUCACCAUGUUUUUCAUGGUUGAGUUUUAUUACAAUACUAUUGUUAUAUAUGCUUGAUUGAGGAUGAUUCUAAGAGGAGUGUGAAUUGCAUGUUUUGGGUUACAAGGUAACCAUCAAUUUGAAUUUAAGUUGUUGAGCAGUUGGUGGAUAGUUCCAACUAUCUUUGCAAAGAAUGAUUGUUUAUGUCGAGAAACCAGUUCUGAAAGAAAUGAAUAUUGGUACUUUAUAUGGAUUUUUGGGGGAAGUCUUUAUAUAGACAGAAUGGCUUACAUGUCUCUCUUCUAUUGUGUGUUUUAGUUGCCACAAAGCCUAGAUGUGGUUUAAAGUGGUUGCCUGUUAGUCAUACUAAUUGUAGAAUAAAUCUUUGAUUUUCUUGAUCCAUUGAUUACGUAUUAAUACGUUGAGGAUCUGAUGGUUCUAUUCCCGAUGCAUGAUUGUGGAGCCAUUGUUGGACCACCUAUCUAUUGGUUUGAAUAAAGUCAUUGCCUAGCCUAGAGUUGGUUGUGUGUGGUUAGUCACCUAUUCCUAAAUGAUGUGGUUUUACAUCAACUUGAGAUGUUUGUCAAAUGUGUGAAGGAUUACGGGGUUAUUAUUGACCUCGUAUGUCUGGUACUUUGAGUGCAUCGUAUGAUAGAAUGAAAUGUAAGUCGCUGAACUACAAUAGAUGAAGACUUAUAUUAUGUGUAGGUUAACCUUACUAGUUUGGAUAUUUUUUUAGUUGAGUGGUUGGAUGAAGUAUAGUGACAUUGGUUAACCAAGUAUUGUGUUGUUGUGUUGUCAGUGCUCUUUGUGGAGCUUUUGUCAUUUCUUCGAUGACCUGUGCCGCGCAGAAUGUUAUUGGCUUCUUGUUGGCUUUAUUGCUCCAUUAGUUCUGUAGACUUUCUCCAUUUAGUGGGGUGCAAAGAAUGUUAGAUUACAUGAUUAUCUUUUCAUGAUGGCGAGAACAAGGUUUAGGAAGAUUAGGAGUUUUGUUUCAAUAGAACUACUUGUUUCGUGGUGCUUUGAGGUGAGGUGUUUGAUCUUCUUAUACAUUCAUCUGAUGUUGAUGUUUCACCAUUUAAUUAAAAUGAAUUGUUGAGGUUGGUAAGGGUUGUGCUUAGUGCAUAUUACCCCUUCAUAAAAGAGUGUUUUUUAAGACAUUGAUGUUGAUGUAUAGCUGCAUCCAAAUUCGAUGGUGUGAAAUUGUAGUGUUGAUUGCAUCUAUGACUUGCUUUGAGCUUCAUUGCAUGUUGUUUCAUGCUUGAUGUCAGGUUGUGUAGUUUCCUUAGACAAUUAGUCCAAGGUAGAAGUUCUUGUGUUAAUUAAGACCAAUAAUGGACCCAUGUUUUGAAUGGUGGUGCUAUAUGGGGUACCUUGGGUGUCUUGCUUGGAGUGGCCGAAUUCGAGGAUGAAUUCUUUUUAAGGGGGGUAGAGUGUUGAUAGUCGCCUAGAGGGGGGGUGAAUAGGGCGAAACUGAAAUUUACAAAUAUAAACACAACUACAAGCCGAGUUAGCGUUAGAAAUAAAAACGAGUCCGUGAGAGAGGGUGCAAAACAAUUCUCGAGCAAAUAAGGAGUGUGACACAAGGAUUUGUUUUACCGAGGUUCGGUUCUAGCAAACCUACUCCUCGUUGAGGUGGUCACAAAGACCGGGUCUCUUUCAACCCUUUCCCUCUCUCAAACGGUCCCUCGGACCGAGUGAGCUUCUCUUCUCAAAUCACUUGGGAAUCAAACUUCCCGCAAGGACCACCACACAAUUGGUGUCUCUUGCCUCAAUUACAAGUGAGUGUUUGAUCACCAAAAGGAAGGUGUUGUUGGGGGCCUUCGGUUUCCGAAGGUCCUCAAAAACAUGUUUUGACAAUGUUUUCCAAGUGAAAUGUGUGAACAGGUAUCUUCGGAAUCGGAUUACGAGUAUAUGAGUAUGGUCAAGACGAAGCUUGAGUGGGACAGAAGGCGAUUGUGACGAAGGGAAAGAUCAUCACGAAGCUAUGCACAGAUAAGCUUCGGCAUAACAGCAGAAAAGGGGAACCGACUUAAAGAUGAAAAGCCAAAUUAGACCCUGAAGAAUUACUAUAUAGUUAUUGAUAAAUGUAAAGGGCAUUAAUGUAAUUUUACACGGGCUGCGUCCCGUGCCUAUAAAUAGAUGAACAGUACUCCCGUACUGUUCACGUUGACUUGGCAUUGUCAUCACGCUUGUACCCUCACUUUUCUUCAGAUCGAAGGUACAUUUGUAAU
rnacentral:lncRNA from 7 species